AAAAAAUGAUUUUAGAGGGUGGUAAAUACAAUCCCUGCAAAUUGGUUAAAAUGUACUUACGAAUAUUGAUUAGCAAGUUAACUUUAUAAUAAUGGGUAAAUUCUACCUACACUACCUAUUUUUUAACAGUAACAACUUCUACCUAAAAAACGAUCAUAAAAAAUACCCAAAGACCAUCAGCUUUGCUCUACAAUACGCAUGUCAAGAACUGCGGCGGUUACUCGUACUCGUCAGUGUCGUCACUUCUGCUCGUCGUCGUUGGAGGUUGGUUGCGGUCGGCUGGAGCUGCUGCAUUUUAUUGUCUGGAUUGAAGGUGGUGAUGGGAGCAGCAGUGUCCCGCCGUGACAAGGACCUGGCUCUCCAGGACCGGGACCUGGCCCCACCUAACCCGGACUGAGUUCGAUAAAAAAUAUAUAUGCAUAUAUAUUAUUGUUUGAAUAUGUUUUGUGAUUCUCUCGAAUAUUCUUCAAUAUACUUUUGAUCAUUUGGUUGAUUUCAUCAAUAAACAAGUUGAUUUCA